ensembl:lncRNA
AUGCUUCAGUUGCAGCCAAAAAAAAAAAAAGACUCACAAGUAUGUACUAAAAAAAAGAAUCCUCAUUUCCUUAUUCCUACAGUACAAGUAUUUUUCACCAAAACUAUUCUUGCGACUGGAAGAAAACUGAGAAUCCAGUAUGUAUACCAAGAACAACAACAACAACAAAUAAUUUUAUUUAUGUGUGGUUUUUUUUGUUUUUUGGUUUUUUUUUUUUUUUUUUUUUUUUUUUUUUUUCUUUUUUUUUUUUUUUUACUUUGUUUUGUUUCUUCCCCAGCAGCGUUCAGUUAUAAAGGGUGUUGGUGCAACGGUGCAGAAAGCUCAAAUUAAUUAGAGUUGGGAAUAUGCCAGCUGAGUAGGAAGAUGGGAAAGAGACUAUGGGCAUUUGUGGGAGUGUAUAAGGAAGAAUCUUUAAAGAAAGACAAUGGAAUCUAAGUCAGGAAGGAGACAAGUAAAAACAUGAAGUGAAUGGAUGAGGGAUAGUAAAACAAGACUGGACUAUACAUUGUUAAUCUCAAUGGGAUCAAGGAAUUAAUGGAAUUGAGAAAAUAAGAGUGAAUUAAAGCAGUAAGAAGUGGGGAUCAGAAAGAGGAAUAUUUAAAAAUGAGAUUAUGAAGGACGUGCAGUUACUGGCAAUGAUAAAAUCAAGAAUAUGGCCAUGGAAGUAGGUGGUCAAGGUAGGGAGAAGGACAAGAUCUUUGGACAAGAAGAGGUUAAGAAACUAAGAAGCUAGGUUCCUAGAAAAAUCACCUACAUAGACAUCAAAACUGUCAAAAAUUAAGAUAAGCCUAAAUAAUUAAUGACAGUAAGGAUGACAGUAAGCCAGGAGCUAAAAUCUUCAAAGAAUGAUGUGAAUUCCAAGGAUCUGAAAAUUAGUACAAGAAGAGAGAUUAGCAGAUGCUAAAAUCUGAUAGCAUGAACUUCUAGGCUAGAAGUUUUUAGGAGAAAAGAGAAACAAUGGUCUGAAAGAAGCAAGGGAAUGCAAGAAAGAUGCCUCCACACUUCCAGGCCAGAGGUACAAGGGGUGGAAAGAGAGGAAACAGCCAUCAUUUGAAAGGACUGUAAAAAAAAAAAACCAGUGGACUCAAGCAAAGGCCAGAUUAUAUCAAGUGAAUGUAAUGUUCAGAAAUAAGAUUGCAGAUAAAAGGAAUUGUGCUCAUCAUAAACUAUGAAGUUGGACAAAGGUGUAGAUAAGAGUCAGAUGAAGGGACAUGCAGAAUCUUGUAGGAAUUUGAAUUUGAGUGUUGAUGGAAAACCCAGGGCUUCUUACAAGGCCUGAAAGAAACAGGCAAAGUAGAUUAUUUCAGUGAGGCUGAAGGCUGAAGGCUGAAGGCUGAAGGUAAGAAGAAGGAUCUUGGCAAGAGCACACAAAGUCCUAGAGAACUCUGUUUUACUCCACUUUUGGAAAACUGUGAUAUACAAGACAAGGGAGGGACAGUAUUACCAGAGGAAUAAGGAGUUCUGGGCACCCUCUUACUGUUACUGAUGCGAGGUAGGAAGGACAACAGAACAUGAGUGUGAAGGAGGUCUUACUUGAAGAGCAUCAAAAAAAAAAAAAAAAAAAAAAAAAAAAAAAAAAAAAAAAAAAAACCAACAACAACAACCACCAAAAUUAGGUCCCCCUGACUUAUUUUUGCUUUUUGUCAUAAAACUCAAAAGUUUUGCACAACAAAGGAAACCAUAAAAACAAAAAGAAAAGACAACCUGCAGAAUGGGAGAAAAUUUUUGCAAACAAUGUAACAGAUAAGGGUCUAAUCUCCAAAAUACACAAACAACUCACAUAACUCAACAACAACAAAAAACCAACCUAAUCAAAAAAUGAGCAGAAGAUCUAAACAGACAUUUCUCCAAAGACAUACAGAUAGCCAACAGGCAUGAAAAGAUGCUCAACAUCACUAAUUAUGAGGGAAAUGCAAAUCAAAACCACAAUGAGGUUCCACCUCACACUGGUCAGAAUGCCCAUCAUUAACAAGUCUACAAAUAAUAAAUGCUAGAGAUGGUAUGGAGAAAAGGGAACC